rfam:Ornithorhynchus anatinus chromosome 10, whole genome shotgun sequence.
CCCCUCUCAGGUUCACAUCUGGAGAGUUUUCAGUACUCUACCAGUCUUGGCUAUGGGAGGGAGAGUCAAGCAGAAGCAUACCCAUUCCAUUCCUAGCUCUGGCAAUGGCCAAUGAGUGGAAUGCAAUCUGCUGCAAGU